CACAAACGGGAAGCUUGGUGCCCAGUGUGGUGACGUGAGAAGUGGUAGAAACAUUAAGAGAGGCGAUCAGUCUCUGGCUGCAGUGACUGUCACCUGCCCCACGCCACCCCAGAAUUUGGGGGAGGAACUUCUGAGCACAAGCAGAGCCAGCUGCCGUCGGAUGUCACACUGACGGUCCCCGCCGUGCCUCUGCCCACUCCCACCCAAUUGCCCAC
rnacentral:lncRNA from 1 species